rnacentral:misc_RNA from 1 species
GGAAUAUUGGACAAUGGGCGCAAGCCUGAUCCAGCCAUGCCGCGUGGGUGAUGAAGGCCCUAGGGUUGUAAAGCCCUUUCGGCGGGGAAGAUAAUGACGGUACCCGCAGAAGAAGCCCCGGCUAACUUCGUGCCAGCAGCCGCGGUAAUACGAAGGGGGCUAGCGUUGCUCGGAAUCACUGGGCGUAAAGCGCACGUAGGCGGCUUAUUAAGUCAGGGGUGAAAUCCUGGAGCUCAACUCCAGAACUGCCUUUGAUACUGAUGAGCUUGAGUUCGGGAGAGGUGAGUGGAACUGCGAGUGUAGAGGUGAAAUUCGUAGAUAUUCGCAAGAACACCAGUGGCGAAGGCGGCUCACUGGCCCGAUACUGACGCUGAGGUGCGAAAGCGUGGGGAGCAAACAGGA